GAGAAAAAGAAAAUAAAAGUUUAAUCAACCAUUUAUAGAGAAAAUUUAGGUCGUGAACUCAGGGUUUGAUUGAUUUUGUGCUGAAACAACAACAUUGUUCUAUGUGUGCGCAUGUGUGUCGUUACGUUGGUCAACAGCUAGCUAACUUGGCCGAGUUUGCAUAUUGUGGGCUUUCUUGCUGUUGUGCUUAACAGGUUGAUUAUCAGUGGUUCUGAAACUCACAUUUUAGGUGCUGUUAUGUAUGCAGGGCCGAGUUCUACAGGCUUUAGAGACUGCAGUUGUUUUCACCUUUGGUGGUUUGGUCAAAGAUAAGGACUCUUUCUGCCAGCUAUUGUGAGACCUAUUCUACAUUCACUAGAGGCAUUUAAGCAAGUCAAAGCGCUUCCCCUUACAGAUGUAGCAACUAGCAUCCAUAAGAAGUCAUCCACCAGGUUCUUCAAACAGUGGAGAUCAAUUUCAGAAGGCUACCUUGAUCUUAUGUGAUGAUCUAUAUGAAAUGUCUUGGGUGAUUUUGAGUCUGUUUCUUUAAGCUGAUACUAUGUUUAUAAGUCUGUUUCUUUGAGCUGAUACUAUGUUUCUGAGUAUGUUUUUUUUAAGAUGAUACU